UACGAAUCGUCCAAACGUUGUUCGGAUUCACUGGGUUUAAAGGGCGCGUAGGCGGUGCGUUAAGUCGGCGGUGAAAUACUUCGGCUCAACCGGAGAAUUGCCGCUGAAACUGGCGUGCUCGAGGGAGGUAGAGGUGCGUGGAACUUCCGGUGGAGCGGUGAAAUGCGUAGAGAUGUGGAGGAACACCAAUGGCGAAGGCAGCCCCCUGGGAUAACACUGACGCUCAGGCACGAAAGCGUGGGGAGCAAACAGG
rnacentral:rRNA from 1 species